rnacentral:lncRNA from 1 species
AAACUAGAGGCUCUAAAGAGCCUGUGUCGCUCACCUUGGUCUAUGUGAAUAUUAAAGGAAGCAGAUGGAUUCAUGACAAAAUUGUGUUUGGUGAUGGUGAUGUGUUUGUACAUCUUACUUUACUGAACAUUCUUGCUGCUUAAAAUUAUCUCUAUCUAUAAUGAACUUGGCCCAUUAGUUUCAGUGGAAAAAUGUUAGUAAAAAUUUACAAAUUUUAUGAAAAUUGUUAAAAAUUGACUAUAAAGAACAAUAACUCCUAAGGGGGUCAAUUGACCAUUUCAGUCAUGUUGACUUAUUUGUAAAUCUUACUUUGCUGAACAUUAUUGUUGUUUACAGUUUAUCUCUAUCAAUAAUAAUAUUCAAGAUAAUGACCAAAAACAGCAAAAUUUCCUUAAAACUAACAAUUCAGGGUCAGCAACCAAACAACGGGUUAUCCGAUUCAUCUAAAAAUUUCAGAGCAGAUAAAUGUUGACCUGAUAAACAAUUUUACUCCAUGUCAGAUUUGCUCUAAAUGCUUUGGGUUUUGAGUUGUAAGCCAAAAACUGCAUUUUACCCCAUGUUCUAUUUUUAGCCAUGGUGGCCAUCUUGGUUUGAUGGCCGGGUCAUCGGACACAUUUUUCAAACUACUAACCCAAAAGAUGAUUGUGGCCAAGUUUGGAUUAAUUUGGCCCAGUAGUUUCAGAGGAGAAGAUUUUUGUAAAAGAUAACUAAGAUUUAUGAAAAAUGGUUAAAAAUUGACUAUAAAGGGCAAUAACU